GUGAUUUUCGCUUAAAUGGUGUAUUUGAGAAUAGAAAAUUCGUGAUUUUCGCAUAAAUGGGGGAUUCUCAAAGAGAAAACGCUUGAUUUUCACUUAAAUUGACGAUUCGCAAAGAGAAAACGCGAGAUUUCCACUUAAAUGGGGGUUUUGCGAAGAGAAAACGUGUGAUUUUCGCUUAAAUGUGGGAUUUCUGAAGAGAAAACUCGUGGUUUUUUGUGUUAAUUGGGGGAUUUGCGAAGAGAAAACGCGUGAUUUUCGGGUUAAAUGGGGGAUAUUCGAAGAGAAAACGCGUGUUUUUCUGGUAAAAUGGGGGAUUUGCGAAGAGAAAAUGCUUGAUUUUCGCAUAAAUGGGGGAUUUGCGAAGAGAAAACGCUUGAUUUUCACUUAAAUUGACGAUUCGCAAAGAGAAAACGCGAGAUUUUCACUUAAAUGCGGGUUUUGCGAAGGGAAAACGUGUGAUUUUCACUUAAAUGGAAGAUUUCUGAAGAGAAAAGUCGUGUUUUUUUGUGUUAAAUGGGGGAUUUGCGAAGAGAAAAUGCGUGAUUUUCGGGUUAAAUGGGGGAUUUGAGAAAACACAUGAUUUUCACUUAAAUGUUGGAUUCUCGAAGUGAAAAGCCGUGAUUUUCAAGUUAAAUGGGGGAUUCGCGAAGAGAAAACGCGUGAUUUUCGCUUAAAUGGGGUAUUUGAGAAGAGAAAAUUCGUGAUCUUCACUUAAAUGGGGGAUUUGCAAAGAGAAAACGUGUGAUUUU
ensembl:lncRNA